rnacentral:rRNA from 1 species
AGUGAACGCUGGCGGUAGGCCUAACACAUGCAAGUCGAACGGCAGCACAGUAAGAGCUUGCUCUUACGGGUGGCGAGUGGCGGACGGGUGAGGAAUACAUCGGAAUCUACUUUUUCGUGGGGGAUAACGUAGGGAAACUUACGCUAAUACCGCAUACGACCUACGGGGAAAGCAGGGGAUCUUCGGACCUUGCGCGAUUGAAUGAGCCGAUGUCGGAUUAGCUAGUUGGCGGGGUAAAGGCCCACCAAGGCGACGAUCCGUAGCUGGUCUGAGAGGAUGAUCAGCCACACUGGAACUGAGACACGGUCCAGACUCCUACGGGAGGCAGCAGUGGGGAAUAUUGGACAAUGGGCGCAAGCCUGAUCCAGCCAUACCGCGUGGGUGAAGAAGGCCUUCGGGUUGUAAAGCCCUUUUGUUGGGAAAGAAAAGCAGCAGGUUAAUACCCCGCUGUUCUGACGGUACCCAAAGAAUAAGCACCGGCUAACUUCGUG